rnacentral:rRNA from 1 species
AGUGAACGCUGGCGGUAGGCCUAACACAUGCAAGUCGAACGGCAGCACAGUAAGAGCUUGCUCUUACGGGUGGCGAGUGGCGGACGGGUGAGGAAUACAUCGGAAUCUACUUUUUCGUGGGGGAUAACGUAGGGAAAUUUACGCUAAUACCGCAUACGACCUACGGGUGAAAGCAGGGGAUUUUCGGACCUUGCGCGAUUGAAUGAGCCGAUGUCGGAUUAGCUAGUUGGCGGGGUAAAGGCCCACCAAGGCGACGAUCCGUAGCUGGUCUGAGAGGAUGAUCAGCCACACUGGAACUGAGACACGGUCCAGACUCCUACGGGAGGCAGCAGUGGGGAAUAUUGGACAAUGGGCGCAAGCCUGAUCCAGCCAUACCGCGUGGGUGAAGAAGGCCUUCGGGUUGUAAAGCCCUUUUGUUGGGAAAGAAAAGCAGCAGGUUAAUACCCCGCUGUUCUGACGGUACCCAAAGAAUAAGCACCGGCUAACUUCGUG